AUGAACGCUGGCGGCGUGCCUAAUACAUGCAAGUCGAGCGAACGGACGAGAAGCUUGCUUUUCUGAUGUUAGCGGCGGACGGGUGAGUAACACGUGGAUAACCUACCUAUAAGACUGGGAUAACUUCGGGAAACCGGAGCUAAUACCGGAUAAUAUUUUGAACCGCAUGGUUCAAAAGUGAAAGACGGUCUUGCUGUCACUUAUAGAUGGAUCCGCGCUGCAUUAGCUAGUUGGUAAGGUAACGGCUUACCAAGGCAACGAUGCAUAGCCGACCUGAGAGGGUGAUCGGCCACACUGGAACUGAGACACGGUCCAGACUCCUACGGGAGGCAGCAGUAGGGAAUCUUCCGCAAUGGGCGAAAGCCUGACGGAGCAACGCCGCGUGAGUGAUGAAGGUCUUCUGAUCGUAAAACUCUGUUAUUAGGGAAGAACAUAUGUGUAAGUAACUGUGCACAUCUUGACGGUACCUAAUCAGAAAGCCACGGCUAACUACGUG
rnacentral:rRNA from 1 species